UGUGAUCGUGCUCGUUUGUAGUUCGAUCCAUCGCGAGUUUGGAACGUGAGAAGAUUUAAUCAAGGACGAUCAAAGGACACGUGAAUCAACCUCGACGAUCCGGGCUCAUUGAGUUGUAACGCGAAUCGCUUUCGAAAAAGUGAGAUUUAACGGCUUCCAAACAAAUUGUUGCGGAUUUAAACAAGGGCGAGAAAUUGGAUGGUGACAAUUAUGAUAUUUGGCACCGUAAAAUUCAAUAUGUUCUCGCUGAGCAAGAGGUUCUGGAAAACUUGAGUAAUAAAAUGGACCUACCCACAGAGGGCACUAGUGCCCAGGCUCGCUGAGAUAUGGAAGCCUAUAAUAAUUGGCUAAAAAAGGAUUGCAUUGCUCGCAUCACGUUGCUGAAUAGUAUGCAGAAUGAUCUCUUGUGCGGGUGUGAGCAGUAUCCGACUGCGUAUGACAUGUGGGAGGCUCUCAAAGCAAAAUUUGGUGUAACUUCGGCCACAAGGUUGCGCAGUCUGACUAUGCGGUUUGACAGUUAUAAAAAGCGUGCCGAUCAGACUAUGAAACAGCACGUUAGAACAAUAUCAAACAUGAUUCGCGAGUUAAAGUCGGCUGGCUGCACCUUGACUGAUGAGCAGCAGAUCCAAGCUAUGAUUCGCUCUCUUCCCAAUUCGUGAGAACAUAUGCGAGUAAAUUUGACCCAUAAUGACAAUAUCAAAACUUUUGAGGAUGUUGCGCGGCAUUUGGAGUUGGAGGAGGAGCACCUAAGGCUGUUAAAACUCCAACUGCCAAUGCUACUGAGUCAAACUUUCGUAGGACAUCUGGGUUCAAGUGAAAGAGGACUACUGGGGCUCAAAAUCGUAGCGGAUCCGCGCCUAAGAAUGCGAAGAACACUAAAAGAAAGAGAAGCAAACGAGGUGGCAAGAAGAACAAGUCAAAGAUGACUUGUUUCAACUGUAAUCAGCUGCGACACUUCGCUCGUGAUUGCACUGAGCCGAAGAAGACUCAGGAGCAACAGACCACGUAGCGAGGGAUCGGAGGGGAUUCGUCGAGUACCGUCGUGUGCCUGCUGGGAGCAGAAGAGUAUAUACAUAGGGAACGAUUCAAGUGUCGAUGUGUUAGGCGUUGGCACAUACAAGUUGAUCAUGCAAGGUGGUCGAACUUUAUAUCUACAUGAUGUACUUUAUGCUCCAGGAAUUCGGCGAAACUUGUUUUCUAUUCUUGCUAUGCUACAGUUAGGCUUUUCUUUUCGUUUUGAGAGUGAUGUAGUUAAGAUUCAUCUUGGAACUAUUUAUUAUGGGAGUGGUUUUAUGUCAAAUGGUUUUAUGGUUUUGGACAUUGAUUAUAAUAUUAAUAAUAGUGAUUCUUUUUCCCUGCUAUCUUCUGUUGAGAAUGAUCACAAUAUUUCAAUUAAAUGGCAUGCACGUCUUGGUCAUAUUGGGCAGGAUAGAAUGACUAGAUUAGUUAGAGACGGGUUAUUGAGCUCGCUCACUAAAGUCGACCUACCCACUUGUGAACAUUGUUUAGCGGGAAAAGCGACCCGAAAACCAUUUAAUAAAGCUUCAAGGGCAGAAUUUCCUUUACAAUUAAUCCAUUCCGACAUUUGUGGCCCAAUGAGUGUGAGGGCAAGACAUGGUGCUUUUUACUUCAUCACAUUUAUAGAUGACCAUACGCGCUUCGGUCAUGUUUAUCUGAUCUCCCAUAAGUCUGAA